rnacentral:tRNA from 1 species
AAGAUUUUAAACAUAAAGCCGCUAACUUUAUCUAUCGUAUUCUAUGAAAAUCUUU